rnacentral:rRNA from 1 species
GAUGAACGCUGGCGGCGUGCCUAACACAUGCAAGUCGAGCGAUUCUCUUCGGAGAAGAGCGGCGGACGGGUGAGUAACGCGUGGGUAACCUGCCCUGUACACACGGAUAACAUACCGAAAGUUAUGCGAAUACGAGCUAAUUUGCUUUUAUCGCAUGGUAGAAGUAUCAAGGCUUCUGCGGUACAGGAUGGACCGCCGUCUGAUUAGCUAGUUGGUAAGGUAACGGCUUACCAAGGCGACGAUCAGUAGACGACAUGAGAGGGUGGUCGGCCCCAUUGAAACUGGGACACGGUCCAAACUCCUACGGGAGGCAGCAGUGGGGAAUAUUGCACAAUGGGCGAAGGCCUGCUGCAGCAACGCCGCGUGAGCGAUGAAGGCCUUCGGGUCGUAAAGCUCUGUCCUCAAUGAAGAUAAUGACGGUACUUGAGGAGGAAGCCCCGGAUAACUACGUGCCAGCAGCCGCCGUAA